UGGGGAAUUUUGGACAAUGGGCGCAAGCCUGAUCCAGCCAUGCCGCGUGCGGGAAGAAGGCCUUCGGGUUGUAAACCGCUUUUGUCAGGGAAGAAACGCUCUGGGCUAAUACCCUGGGGUAAUGACGGUACCUGAAGAAUAAGCACCGGCUAACUACGUGCCAGCAGCCGCGGUAAUACGUAGGGUGCAAGCGUUAAUCGGAAUUACUGGGCGUAAAGCGUGCGCAGGCGGUUAUGCAAGACAGAUGUGAAAUCCCCGGGCUCAACCUGGGAACUGCAUUUGUGACUGUAUAGCUAGAGUACGGUAGAGGGGGAUGGAAUUCCGCGUGUAGCAGUGAAAUGCGUAGAUAUGCGGAGGAACACCGAUGGCGAAGGCAAUCCCCUGGACCUGUACUGACGCUCAUGCACGAAAGCGUGGGGAGCAAACAGGAUUAGAUACCCCGGUAGUCCCUGAGCGGGCUGGCAAGGCGCAU
rnacentral:rRNA from 1 species